CUCGUAGGUGGCCGACUAAGUCGGACGUGAAAUCCCUCGGCUUAACCGGGGAACUGCGUCCGAUACUGGAUGGCUUGAGUUUGGGAGAGGGACGCGGAAUUCCAGGUGUAGCGGUGAAAUGCGUAGAUAUCUGGAGGAACACCGGUGGCGAAGGCGGCGUCCUGGACCAAUACUGACACUGAUGAGCGAAAGCCAAGGGGGGGCAAACG
rnacentral:rRNA from 1 species